rnacentral:misc_RNA from 1 species
GCUACUACUGUCAAUUAAAAUCAAUAAUUCUCUGCUUUUAUGCUUGCCCAGAACUCUUAUUGUUUCAGUCCUCUGUCUGGCCUCAAUUGCAUGCACAGAUAAUGUCAUUUCCUCUGCAGAACCUAUUCCCUCUCCUUCUCCAACAUCAUGCCAUGCUUCAUCACCAUCUUCCGUGUCCUGCCCUUGCACUUGAAAAGCUGUUCCAUCACUCUUACAACCUUGUAUUGCCAUUAAUGAUUUCUGUUGCUUGCAUUGAUGCCCAGGGAAGUAUUUGUCUCCACACUUAAAACAAGGCCUUGGUUGCCUGAUGGUAUUGGAAUUUGUAGCGAUAUUAGUAUUGGUUUUAACUGCAGGUUGGUUAACAGAAGAUUGGCUAGCAGUGGGAAGGUUUUUCUGAGUGGUGAAAGGCUGUUUUAGGGUAUUAAUGUUCUCUGAAUUAGGUGGUCUGGGUAUAUAUGAAAAAUUUUGGUUGCUUGGGUUAGGUUUAGAAGAAAAAGAUGCUGUUGAAGUGAAAGAAUUGGUUUUGAAAUUUCCUUGAUAAGGUCUAUAGUAGAAAUUAGGUUUUUUUAUUGCAAUUUAAGAGUUGUUCUUGAAAUUUGGCAGUCUCAAUGGCAUGGGAUAGAGUAGUGGGUCUUAUCAUCCUCACAAUAGGCCUAAUAUCAUCUCUCAACCCUCCCAUUAAACCAGACAAAAAAUAGGCUUUUCCUAAAUUUGGCAUAACCCUCUCCAAUCUAACUCUUAUGUCUUCAAACUUAUCUUGAUACUCCUCAAGUGACCCUUCUUGCCUCAUUUUCAUAAACUCCUCAAUUAUAUCUCCUAAACCUUCCUCCCCAAAUCUUACACAAAGAUCCCUCUCAAAAUCAGUCCAAGAAUGAGAUCCUUCCCCUUUCACCCAAUUAUGAUACCAAGCAUCUGCCCUGUCAACUAAAAACAAGCUGGCUAUUCCCACCAUCUGAUCUUUUGGAACCCCAUACACCUCAAAAUACUUAAUACACUUCCUAAGCCAAGCCCUAGGUUCUUUACCAUCACAAGUGACUAGCUUAACUUUAGGUAAAAUCUUGGACAUAGCUUCAGUUUCAGCUGUAGAUCCAGUGCCAUUAAGAUCUCUGUUUGGCCGAUUCCCAUUCUCUUUAGGUUUGGGCAGAAUCCCCUUUCCUCUGAGAGAGGCAACUGAGUUUCCAGCCUCAUCAUUAUCUCCUGAGCUGGCACCUUUGCCCUUAUCCACCAUAACAACACCAAAUAGGGAUCGGAAUUCUUCCAAAAUAAUGUUUCUGUUCUCAAUUGCAGAUUGCUUAAUCUCCUCCCUUAAUUCCUCUUUAUCCUUCUUCACAGUUGCUUGCAAAACCCUAAUUUGCUCUUCCAUCUCUGCCAUCCUAGCUGCAUCUUGAAUAACUGCUCCAGAUCUGGUCAUUGUUGCAACCUCAAUACCCACAGAUUUGAGCUAAUCCCCUUCGAAACAAGGCUCUGAUACCAAAUUGUUAGGUAACAGCCUAGAGAGAUUAUUCCUGGAAACUUAGAAAUGAGAUGAGUAAUAGAAGAAUUAGACUAGAUGAGAAAAGAAAGUAGAGAUAAGCCCCACAAUAUGAUCUUCUUUGAGAUUGCUGUGGAAGCCAACUUUCAACCUCCUUUUAUUUUAAUGCCUUUAGAAGUUCUGAGCAAUUCCAACACAAUCCAAAGUCUGAAUCCAAAUUCAUGAGAACGAAUGCUGCUUUCCUCUUCCUCAUUACACACAAUACACCUAUAGGCCAAAAAGAAAAACCUUCUUAUGAUAUGGUCAUUACCAAAUACCAAGAAGUGGGAGAUGAUAUGGGAUGGAUUUAUUGUCUGUCUUGUGAAGAUCUUGUGUCUUUAGUGUUGUGCAGGACCACAAGUACCCUAUUAUUUUCUUUGUUUUUAUAGCCUUUAUCUUCACAUAAUCCACAUACUUAGUAUUGCUUCAGGUAUUUUAUCAUCCUCUUCUUUUCUUUUAGAUGUGUUCCAUCUUAGCCUGUCAGUUUUUCUUAGCCUAAAUAUAAUUUAUGGAGUUAUAAUUUACAUAUUAAGUUACAAGGAAUUAUUGUUAUUAAAGAAUACUUCAAUCAUGCUUUAACUUCUGUGCCACUUUGGUCAAAUAUGACAAACCCAUCUUUAAUUUAGGAAAAUUCCCUGUAGUUCUUGUUUCUCUUAUAUGCAAGCAAUUUACUUUACUUUUUAGUUCUAUCCAGCUAAUGUUAUGUGCUUUAAGUAUCACUAGUACUAGACAUAAAAUGCUGAUGCUUGUGAAUAGCUAAUCCUGGCACAAACUUCAUGAAACAUAAAUAUGUGUAUUUGUAUUAUUCCCGAAUGUCUUUCCAUUUUCUUGUUAUAAUCUGUUCAAAUGGUGAUAUCAUAUUUCAGGAAUUCUCUCCGAGCUCUAAUG